rnacentral:sRNA from 1 species
CCUAGCAAGAGCCGUGCUUCGCAGAAUC